rnacentral:rRNA from 1 species
UACGUAGGGUGCGAGCGUUGUCCGGAAUUAUUGGGCGUAAAGGGCUCGUAGGCGGUCUGUUGCGUCGGGAGUGAAAACUCAGGGCUUAACCCUGAGCCUGCUUCCGAUACGGGCAGACUAGAGGUAUGCAGGGGAGAACGGAAUUCCUGGUGUAGCGGUGAAAUGCGCAGAUAUCAGGAGGAACACCGGUGGCGAAGGCGGCAUCCUGGACCAACACUGACACUGAGGAGCGAAAGCCAGGGGAGCAAACGGG